rnacentral:piRNA from 1 species
UGCUCUCUGACAGGGAGAGGCUGC